UGUUGAAAAGAAGAGUCCAGAACAGUUAUGGCCAACAGAUGUAUAUUCAGCAACCUCACUCACUCUAAGAAGUCCAGCUUCAGGGAGUAUAUUUACAGACCAGGUGGAGCAGGGCCUUGGACUGGUUAACACAGAGACUGGCUGUGCACAAAGGUCAAUUGCUGAUGGCAGAGUGAGUCUUCCAAAGAUUAGAUGCAAGCCAUUUGGAAGUGUUGACACUAUAAGCUUUAGUGUUGAGGACCCACGAGAUGAUGAGAUUAUUUUCUCUAAAUCAGUGAAUAACUAUUCAAAUGCUUUUUAAUAGUGAUACAAACUCCAAGUUAACAGGUUAAUCUGAAUUUUUUGCUGUUUUCCGUUGAUCACCUUUUGAAGAAAGGACCUUUUCCCAAGUCUAAGAAGCUACCCACAGGAAAGUAAAUAAUCACUAAAGAAAUAGAAGAUUGUCUUCAAGAUUCAGGACUUUUUGGAUUCCUGAAAAUUCUAUAUCAAAACCUAACUGAUGGGAAGACCAAAACCAGGUGUGUGACAUUUAUUUAAUAAACUAGAUUUGUCUGAUUUAUUCCAGAAUGGCAGAGUUUCGGUGGGAGGCAUCUAUAGCAUCGGGUCU
rnacentral:lncRNA from 10 species